UACGGGGGGAGCGAGCGUUGUUCGGAAUCACUGGGCGUAAAGGGCGCGUAGGCGGCUGAAUAAGUCAGAGGUGAAAUCCCAGGGCUUAACCUUGGAAUUGCCUUUGAUACUGCUCGGCUAGAGGACGGAAGAGGAUAGUGGAAUUCCUGGUGUAGCGAUGAAAUGCGUAGAUAUCAGGAAGAACACCGGUGGCGGAGGCGGCUAUCUGGUCCGUUACUGACGCUGAGGCGCGAAAGCCAGGGGAGCAAACGGG
rnacentral:rRNA from 1 species